rnacentral:lncRNA from 1 species
UGUAAUACCCGAUUUUGGCCCGGGUAAAAGGCCCAAAUUACAAACAGGCCUACGUGGCCCAAAACCCGAAGUACAACAGGGGCCCAAAGCUCGGUGGCCCAAAUCAUUUGCAGAAACCCUAGGGUUUCUGAGGAAGCCCUUUGCGCCGCAACCACAAGCGUCCCCAUACCUGCGCAUCAAAGAGAAACAAAAAAGGAAACACAAUCAAAUAUUCGAAAAUCAAAUAAAGAAGCAGAUUUGUUUCUUCUUUAGAUUGGUUUCUGCUAUUAAGUUUUCAUUCGGCUAUAAAAAGCCAUCAAAAAUACUGUAAAAUGGGGGGAUUGACAUAUACUGGAUACAAAAAAAGCAAUAAAAUACAUCAGUUUUCUUUAAGGUGAUUCUCAAAGUUUUUUUUUAUUUUUUAUUUAUUUUUUGAUCUGUUCUUGAAUAAAAGAAAAAGAAAAAGAAAUAAAUUCUUACCUUCAUACCAGCGUCGUCGAAACCUCGUUUACUCCGUCCAAAUCGGGAUCUAAUGAAGUUUUGGGUUUGAAGGCGGCAGAAGAGUGUGAGA